UACGGAGGAUGCAAGCGUUAUCCGGAUUCACUGGGUUUAAAGGGUGCGUAGGUGGGCAGGUAAGUCAGUGGUGAAAUCUCCGGGCUUAACCCGGAACUGCCGUUGAUACUAUUUGUCUUGAAUAUUGUGGAGGUAAGCGGAAUAUGUCAUGUAGCGGUGAAAUGCUUAGAUAUGACAUAGAACACCAAUUGCGAAGGCAGCUUACUACACAACGAUUGACGCUGAGGCACGAAAGCGUGGGGAUCAAACAGG
rnacentral:rRNA from 1 species